rnacentral:tRNA from 1 species
GCGAGGGUUGCCAAGCCAGGUCAAAGGCGCUGGCUUGAGGGGCCAGUCCCGCAGGGGUUCGUGCGUUCAAAUCGCACCCCUCGCA